GAUGAACGCUGGCGGCGUGCUUAACACAUGCAAGUCGAACGGAAAGGCCCUGCUUUUGUGGGGUGCUCGAGUGGCGAACGGGUGAGUAACACGUGAGUAACCUGCCCUUGACUUUGGGAUAACUUCAGGAAACUGGGGCUAAUACCGGAUAGGAGCUCCUGCUGCAUGGUGGGGGUUGGAAAGUUUCGGCGGUUGGGGAUGGACUCGCGGCUUACCAGCUUGUUGGUGGGGUAGCGGCUUACCAAGGCUUUGACGGGUAGCCGGCCUGAGAGGGUGACCGGGCACAUUGGGACUGAGAGACGGACCAGACUCGUACGGGAGGCAGCAGUGGGGAGUAUUGCACAGUGAGCGGAAGUCUGAUGCAGCAACGCCGCGUGCGGGAUGACGGCCUUCGGGUUGUAAACCGCUUUCGCCUGUGACGAAGCGUGAGUGACGGUAAUGGGUAAAGAAGCACCGGCUAACUACGUG
rnacentral:rRNA from 1 species